UUCUGGCUACAUCCUGUGCAGUCCAAGCCACUUCCACUUGCAUUGAAAGAAAAAUUCUUACUCAUGGUCAUCUGUGCAGUGUCACAGUGAUGACAUGGUGGAGGAAAGAUCUCUCACUGUGGCCACCUGGCAAAGGUAAAGGUGGUAAGAACUCCUGACCUGGAUGACAGAAAGCAUGAAUAUCAGCUAGAGCUGUAAAGCUUUAAAGUGAACUCCGAAGACCUGUAAUGCAAGUAUAUGCAGGAUUGAAGACCAAGAUGUGUAAUGGAUAAAAGCACACUGUGAGCACCAGUUAUCACAAGCCAUUUGCCAUCAAUAGGAGAGAGGAGGACCUGUUGUCUAGGGAGAAAAUUCACAUCGGCUGAGAGCAAACCUGCUGCUCUUCCUUACAGCAUUUGACAAAAUAAACAAGGAGUUUAAAAAAAUA